rnacentral:rRNA from 1 species
ACGAACGCUGGCGGCGUGCUUAACACCUGCAAGUCGAACGGUGAAGCGCCUUCCUUUUUGGUGGGUGUGGAUGAGUGGCGAACGGGUGAGUAACACGUGAGUAACCUGCCCCCUUCUUCUGGAUAACCGCAUGAAAGUGUGGCUAAUACGGGAUAUUCUGGGUCUGUCGCAUGAUGGGUCUGGGAAAGAUAUUGUUUCGGUGGGGGAUGGGCUCGCGGCCUAUCAGCUUGUUGGUGGGGUGAUGGCCUACCAAGGCGGUGACGGGUAGCCGGCCUGAGAGGGUGGACGGUCACACGGGGACUGAGACACGGCCCAGACUCCUACGGGAGGCAGCAGUGGGGAAUAUUGCACAAUGGGCGCAAGCCUGAUGCAGCGACGCCGCGUGAGGGAUGGAGGCCUUCGGGUUGUGAACCUCUUUCGCCAGUGAAGCAGGCCUGCCUCGUUUGUGGGUGGGUUGACGGUAGCUGGAUAAGAAGCGCCGGCUAACUACGUG